GCACUUUCCAACCAUCCCCGCCCUUACUCUCUCAGUGCUGGGCUGGGGUCAGCUGAGGUGCCAGAGAGGUGCAAAGUAUAUCCAGACGGGCGUUCCACUUCCAUUGGGGCUUGUCUCUACAACUUUGCAACAAAG